rnacentral:rRNA from 1 species
AACGCGAAGAACCUUACCUGGGCUUGACAUGUGAGUGACGGGUGUGGAAACACACCUUCCCUUCGGGGCACUUUCACAGGUGGUGCAUGGCUGUCGUCAGCUCGUGUCGUGAGAUGUUGGGUUAAGUCCCGCAACGAGCGCAACCCCCGUCGCAUGUUGCCAGCAUUUAGUUGGGGACUCAUGCGAGACUGCCGGUGACAAACCGGAGGAAGGUGGGGAUGACGUCAAGUCCUCAUGCCCCUUAUGUCCAGGGCUACACACGUGCUACAUUGGCGCGUACAGAGGGCUGCGAUACCGCGAGGUGGAGCGAAUCCCUUAAAGCGCGUCUCGGUUCGGAUUGCAGGCUGAAAUUCGCCUGCAUGAAGGCGGAGUUGCUAGUAAUCGCGGAUCAGCACUGCCGCGGUGAAUACGUUCCCGGGCCUUGUA